ACCUGAGUGGCUCAGUCAGUUGAGCAGCUGAUUUCGGCUCAGGUCAUGAUCUUGCAGUUCAUGGGUUCAAGCCCCAUGUUGGGUU
rnacentral:tRNA from 1 species